CUCAUCGAGCGGUCUUAGAAUUUGUAGGCGCCAAAGAUUGUCCGCUACACGCUCGAAGUCAGACGUGGAAAAGUGAUGAUAGAUCGCUUUAGCCUCGCUUGGGAAUUUUUCAGAUAUGGGAAACUCCUUGCAAGAGUCCUCGGAAAAAUCAUGCACAUGCCAAGCAAGGCCCUGUGCGAUAGCGCCAUAGGCGUUUCGCUCAAGCUCAUUCAUAGCGGAUACUCUUAAAG
rnacentral:misc_RNA from 1 species